rnacentral:lncRNA from 1 species
GCGCCUUUGGCUGUUGGGGAGUCUGGGAUGGUGGGGAGUCCGGGGCUCGCCCUAGUCGCGGGGACACUGCCUUCCAGGAGCUGUCCUCAGGCAAACUCACAGACAUCUUCAAAGAGCCUUCCUGGACAUUCUGCUUUUUGCUCCUCAAAACAGGCUUCGGAAAGAGAACAGGCAAACAUCUCUGCGAGCGCCCCUAGGGCUCCGUUCCCUGUCCCAAGACCGGGAAUCGGGGAGGGGGUCCAAGCCGAGUGCACUUAAUUAACAAAUCAAUGAAACAGUUGGAAAAUCUCAGUAAUAUUUUACAUGAGAUCGAGGGCGGUGACUCACGCCUGUAGUCCCAGCACUUUGGGAGGCCGAGGCGGAGGUGGAGGGUCGCUUGAGGCCAGGAGUUCGAGACCAGCCUGGGCAACAUGGCAUAAAUAAUAUACAACAGCCUGAGCACUGUGGCUCAUGCCUGUAAUACCAGCACUUUGGGAGACUGAGGCAGGCGGAUCACCUGAGAUCAGGAGUUCAAGACCAGCCUGGCCAACACGGUAAAACCCCGUCUCUACUGAAAAUACAAAAAUUAGCUGGGCAUGGUGAUGCAUGCCUGUAAUCCCAGCUACUCAGGAGGCUGAGGCAGGAGAAUCUCUUGAACCCAGGAGUUGGAGGUUGCAGUGAGCCAAGAUGGUGCCCCUGCACUCCAGCCUGGGCAACAAAGUGAGACCCUAUCUCAAAAGGAAAAAAAAAUAUAUGACAAAGUGCACACAUUUAAAAUGUGCAAUUUGAUAUGUUUUAACUUAUAUGUAUACCUGUGAAACCAUCACCACAAUUGGGGAUAGGGAACAAAUCCAUCACCCCAAAAAGUUUUCUAAUGUAUUUCCCUAGUGACUAAUGAUGUUGAGCAUCUUCUCAUGUGCUUUUUUGCCUUACCUAUAUCUUCUGUGUUGAAGUGUCUGUUCAGAUCUUUUGUGAGGACAAAGUACGGUUCCAGGUAGGGAUCCGAGUUCAUUUUUUCGCAUGUGAAUAUCAAAUGUCCCGGCACCAUUUAUUGAGAAGGCCAUCCUUUCUCCACCUCAUCGCUUUUGUAACCUUGUUCAGUAUCAGUUGUCCACUGAUGUAUGGAUUUAUUUAUGGACUCUAUUAGGUUCCAUUGAUCUACCUGCUCUCUUUAAGCCAAUUACUAUGCUGUUUUGAUUGCUGUAGCUUUAUAACAGUUUCCUCUUUUUUGGCCCUAAUUUCACAUUUAUUUUAUUUUUAAAAUUUUGACUUGUAUUAUAGAUUAAAGGGUAUAUGUGCAGCUUUGUGGCAUGGGUAAAUCGGAUGACUCUGAGGCUUGAGGUCCCAACGAUCCUGUCCCCCAGGCAGUCAGCAUAGUACUUAACAAGUGGUUCUUCAGCCCAUGCCAGUAACAACUUUCAAAAUCAAGUCGUGUUCUUCCUCCAACUUGUUUUUCUUCUGCAGAGUUAUUUUGGCUAUUUUAGGUCCUUUGCAUUUCCAGAUGAAUUUUAGAAUCAAAUUAUCAAUUUUUACCAAAAAAAAA